rnacentral:rRNA from 1 species
ACGCUGGCGGCACGCCUAACACAUGCAAGUCGAACGAAGUAGCAAUACUUAGUGGCAGACGGGUGAGUAACAUGUGGGUAUCUGCCCUUUGGCCUGGAAUAACACGAGGAAACUUGUGCUAAUACCGGAUAAGUCUUUACGGAGAAAGCUUUAUGCACCAUUGGAUGAGCCCGCACUUGAUUAGUUUGUUGGUGGGGUAAUGGCCUACCAAGACUGUGAUCAAUAGCUGAUUUGAGAGGAUGAUCAGCCACAUUGGGACUGAGACACGGCCCAAACUCCUACGGGAGGCAGCAGUGGGGAAUCUUGCACAAUGGAGGAAACUCUGAUGCAGCGAUGCCGCGUGAGUGAAGAAGGCCCUUGGGUUGUAAAGCUCUUUCGUCGGGGAAGAAAAUGACUGUACCCGAAUAAGAAGGUCCGGCUAACUUCGUGCCAGCAGCCGCGGUAAUACGAAGGGACCUAGCGUAGUUCGGAAUUACUGGGCUUAAAGAGUUCGUAGGUGGUUGAAAAAGUUAGUGGUGAAAUCCCAGAGCUUAACUCUGGAACUGCCAUUAAAACUUUUCAGCUAGAGUAUGAUAGAGGAAAGCAGAAUUUCUAGUGUAGAGGUGAAAUUCGUAGAUAUUAGAAAGAAUACCAAUUGCGAAGGCAGCUUUCUGGAUCAUUACUGACACUGAGGAACGAAAGCAUGGGUAGCGAAGAGGAUUAGAUACCCUCGUAGUCCAUGCCGUAAACGAUGUGUGUUAGACGUUGGAAAUUUAUUUUCAGUGUCGCAGCGAAAGCGAUAAACACACCGCCUGGGGAGUACGACCGCAAGGUUAAAACUCAAAUGAAUUGACGGGGACCCGCACAAGUAGUGGAGCAUGUGGUUUAAUUCGAAGAUACGCGCAGAACCUUACCAACACUUGACAUGUUCGUCGCGACUCUAAGAGAUUAGAGUUUUCGGUUCGGCCGGACGAAACACAGGUGCUGCAUGGCUGUCGUCAGCUCGUGUCGUGAGAUGUUGGGUUAAGUCCCGCAACGAGCGCAACUCUCACUUUUAGUUGCCAUCAUUAAGUUGGGCACUCUGAAAGAACUGCCAGUGAUAAGCUGGAGGAAGGUGGGGAUGACGUCAAGUCCUCAUGGCCCUUACGUGUUGGGCUACACACGUGCUACAAUGGUAUCUACAACAGGAAGCAAGACUGCGAGGUCAAGCAAAUCCUUAAAAGAUACCUCAGUUCGGAUUGCACUCUGCAACUCGAGUGCAUGAAGCUGGAAUUACUAGUAAUCGUGGAUCAGCGUGCCACGGUGAAUGCGUUCCCGGGUCUUGUACACACCGCCCGUCACACCAUGGGAGUUGGUUCUACCUUAAGGCAAGGUUUCAAACCCUUGACCACGGUAUAGUCAGCGACUGGGGUG